UACGUAGGGUGCGAGCGUUGUCCGGAGUUACUGGGCGUAAAGAGCUCGUAGGCGGUGUGUCGCGUCGGCCGUGAAAUCCUGCUGCUUAACGGCGGGCUUGCGGUCGAUACGGGCAGACUAGAGUUCGGUAGGGGAGACCGGAAUUCCUGGUGUAGCGGUGAAAUGCGCAGAUAUCAGGAGGAACACCGGUGGCGAAGGCGGGUCUCUGGGCCGAUACUGACGCUGAGGAGCGAAAGCGUGGGGAGCGAAC
rnacentral:rRNA from 1 species